rnacentral:rRNA from 1 species
UACGAAGGGGGCUAGCGUUGUUCGGAAUCACUGGGCGUAAAGCGCACGCAGGCGGAUCGAUAAGUCGGGGGUGAAAGCCCGGGGCUCAACCUCGGAAUUGCCUUCGAUACUGCGGGUCUCGAGUCCGGGAGAGGUGAGUGGAAUUCCUAGUGUAGAGGUGAAAUUCGUAGAUAUUAGGAAGAACACCAGUGGCGAAGGCGGCUCACUGGCCCGGUACUGACGCUGAGGCGCGAAAGCGUGGGGAGCAAACAGG